UACGCUUGGUAAACUUUGAGU
rnacentral:piRNA from 1 species